GUGGGGAAUAUUGGACAAUGGGCGCAAGCCUGAUCCAGCCAUGCCGCGUGAGUGAUGAAGGCCUUAGGGUUGUAAAGCUCUUUCACCGAUGAAGAUAAUGACGGUACCCAGUAAAGAAACCCCGGCUAACUCCGUGCCAGCAGCCGCGGUAAUACGGAGGGGGUUAGCGUUGUUCGGAAUUACUGGGCGUAAAGCGCGCGUAGGCGGAUUGGAAAGUUGGGGGUGAAAUCCCGGGGCUCAACCCUGGAAUGGCCUUCAAAACUCCCAGUCUUGAGGUCGAGAGAGGUGAGUGGAAUUCCGAGUGUAGAGGUGAAAUUCGUAGAUAUUCGGAGGAACACCAGUGGCGAAGGCGGCUCACUGGCUCGAUACUGACGCUGAGGUGCGAAAGCGUGGGGAGCAAACAGGAUUAGAAACCCCAGUAGUCC
rnacentral:rRNA from 1 species